UAAUAGUGGUGAGGAAAGCACCUUCAGGUAAUCUUUCACAAGAAAGGUCAGUAUGUAAUAGUGGUGAGGAAAGCACCUUCAGGUAAUCCUUCACAAGAAAGGUCAGUAUGUAAUAGUGGUGAGGAAAGCACCUUCAGGUAAUCCUUCACAAGAAAGGUCAGUAUGUAAUAGUGGUGAGGAAAGCACCUUCAGGUAAUCCUUCACAAGAAAGGUCAGUAUGUAAUAGUGGUGAGGAAAGCACCUUCAGGUAAUCCUUCACAAGAAAGGUCAGUAUGUAAUAGUGGUGAGGAAAGCACCUUCAGGUAAUCCUUCACAAGAAAGGUCAGUAUGUAAUAGUGGUGAGGAAAGCACCUUCAGGUAAUCCUUCACAAGAAAGGUCAGUAUGUAAUAGUGGUGAGGAAAGCACCUUCAGGUAAUCCUUCACAAGAAAGGUCAGUAUGUAAUAGUGGUGAGGAAAGCACCUUCAGGUAAUCUUUCACAAGAAAGGUCAGUAUGUAAUAGUGGUGAGGAAAGCACCUUCAGGUAAUCCUUCACAAGAAAGGUCAGUAUGUAAUAGUGGUGAGGAAAGCACCUUCAGGUAAUCUUUCACA